rnacentral:rRNA from 1 species
GCGCCUCGUGAAUUCAUCUCCGGGGGUAGAGCACUGUUUCGGCUAGGGGGCCAUCCCGGCUUACCAACCCGAUGCAAACUGCGAAUACCGGAGAAUGUUAUCACGGGAGACACACGGCGGGUGCUAACGUCCGUCGUGAAGAGGGAAACAACCCAGACCGCCAGCUAAGGUCCCAAAGUCAUGGUUAAGUGGGAAACGAUGUGGGAAGGCCCAGACAGCCAGGAUGUUGGCUUAGAAGCAGCCAUCAUUUAAAGAAAGCGUAAUAGCUCACUGGUCGAGUCGGCCUGCGCGGAAGAUGUAACGGGGCUAAACCAUGCACCGAAGCUGCGGCAGCGACGCUUAUGCGUUGUUGGGUAGGGGAGCGUUCUGUAAGCCUG